rnacentral:lncRNA from 12 species
CUACUUCUCACUAACCCCCCACAUCCAACCAUAGGCAAUUCCUUCAUAAUGAGCCCUCAGAACACUUCAGAACUCAACCACCUCCACCUGCCUCUGCUGCCACCAGCCUGGCUCCAGCCGCCACGUCUCACCUGGAACAUCGUGAUUGCCUCCUCCCUUAUCUCCUGUCCUCAUAACCCUUUCUUCUCAAAGCUGCCUGGACAUUGGUUGCAAACAGCUCGCCUGUUCUCAAGUCCUCCCACCCCCCGUGGAAACCAGCACACCCAGGAUCAAGCGAAGUUCCUUACCGUGAUCUGUAAGACCUCUGAGUUCUGGUCCCUGCUCCCUUCUCUGACCUCCUCUCCUCCACUCUCUUUCCGCAUCCACUGCAGUGCCCCUCGCUGCUCCUGAGCUUCCUUAGUACGUUCCCACCUCAGGGCCUUUGCACUUACUGUUCUCUCUGCCUGGAACUUUGUUUCCCAAGUAUUCAUAAGACCCCUUCCCUCUCUAUCAGGUCUUUUCUCAACUGUCACCUCCACAUGGAGGUCUUCCUUGAUUUCAUAUCUACAAUAAGCCCUUGCUCCCCCAUCACCUAUCAUUCCCCCAUCUUCUUACCCUUUUGUAUUUUCUUUCAAGCAGGUUCACUGAUGUUAUUUUAUAGAUUUAGUUGUAUAAUUAUUGUGGGGGUCGCUGCUAGACAGACCCUGUGGUGUGACGAGUGUGGGGAUGGGGAAGACACAGCGGGGUCUGCGGGGUGCUCAGAGCAGGUCCCUGCCUCAGUGUCCCCCUGAGGCCUGGACUCCCCACCCCCCUCAGCAGCCUGCUAAUGCGAUGCGGUAAUUCUGAGUCCCUGCUUUGUCCGGGAAGAGAGGUUGCCAUGGAAACAGAGGCGCGAGGCUCCAGCAAAGGGAGCAUUACCCUCCCUUUGUUAGACCCAGAGGCCUGCCUUCUGGGGGCCACCCCACCUGCUGCCUGCCUUUGGGAAAGAAGACGGGAGACGAGGAAAACGAGAGGCUGCAGCAGGUUGAGCUCCAGAAGGUCUGUGCCAGGCCCUGACCGGGACAAGCUGCUGAGCACCGCGAGCCCCAGUCCCCCCACCUGUAAAAUGGGAUGCCGGCGUCUCUCAGGGUGCCGGGGAGGGGGAGUCCCCGUCCCACAGCGCUGCCUCCUGGCCCGAGCACCAUGCUGCGGAGAGCAGGGCGGGCCACUGGGGAACAGCCUCCCCCCAGCCAGCAGCUGGAGGAAGGCAAUGGUGAAUCAGGCCUUGGGGAGCUCUCGAGAGCCUGGGGGCAUGCACCCAUGGGGAGACCCAAACAGCCCCGGCCCCGGCUUCCCCGCUGGCCUCCCUGGCGGGCUGUCCGCUUGGCUGCUCCCUGGGUGUCUUCGUCUGCAGUCCCUUCACCCCCGGCCCCCUCUGGGGCGGCCUCCUUCAGGCUACACCUGCGUUUUGUCUGAGCCUGUGUUUUCAGUGACUGAGUGGGGAAAUUUUUAAUUAAAAUCUGUAUUUGUUGCUUUUCUUGACAACGGUAUAGCAGCAACCGCACAGCCCACACUUCCAGUUGGCAAUGACCGGCUGGCCCUGAGUCCACCCCCCCUUUGACGGCGCCCAUGCUGUCCUGCUCCCCGCAGUCUCCACGCUUCCUACAGUCUGCCUGGCAUUCCUCUGCUGUUGGCCUUCAUUUUGCGUCCACGCCUUGUCAGGUCCUCACUAUUCUCACCCCUCCCACCCUGUCCUGAUGCCCCCAAGCUGGGGGUGAGGGGUGGGGGGCACCUGGGCAGCAGGGACGCGGGGACCUGGAGAAGCCAUAGUUUCCUGGUAAAGCCUGACCCAGGGAGAUGCUGUCCGCGGGGGCCCCGUGAGUGCAGAGCACUGGCCGAAGCGUACAUUGACCAUGGUGGAGGGCCCGUCCUGUCGUGGCACACUCCAGUGCUGGGCCCUGAAGACUGCCCACCCCCACGGGCCCAGAAGUGUGGACACCGAGCCCGUCUGCCUGCACUGGGAACUUCAGCACUGCCUUCACCUUUCUGGGCCCUCGUUGGUUUUGCCACCUGCGUACAGAGAAUGCGCUGGGUGACAAGUGCUCUAUGAGGCCCUCCAGCCCAGGUCCUAAGCCACGGCCUCGACUGCUCUGUGACGUCAUCUGGUGCUGGAUUCUGCUUCUGCGUCACCCCCCACCCUACCCCACCCCACCUCCACCCCCAGGGACCUGCACUUCACAGAGGGGAAGACCCCACCUCACCCCUUAAUCCCUACUCAGCCUCCCGCCCGUGGUCACCCACAUGCAUGAUAACACCCUGGACGGGUGUUCACAAGCAUCCAGACUAAAGGGAGGAGUGACUUAACACUUAUUUUAUUUUUUUAAAGAUGAAUUUAUCUAUUUUAGAGAAAGAAUGUGCAAGUGCACAAGUAGGGGGAGGAGCACAAGGAGAGGGAGGGAAAGAAUCUCAAGGAGUCUCUGUGCAGAGCAUAAAGCUUGACAAAGGGCUCGAACUCACAACCCAGAGAUCAUGACCUGAGCAGAAACCAAGAAAGCAAGAGUCAUAUGCUCAACCCACUGCCCCACCUGGGUGCCCCGGGACUUAGUAUUUAUUAAGCACCUACUGUUUGCCGGGCACUGUUUGACGAUGGAUCCCCAGGGUCACUCUGGGAACUGGGUUCAUCAUCCUCUCAUCACGAUAAGAAACUGAGGCCAGGGAGGCCGUGCGAGCUGUCUCCAUGGGGUGGGGGGGACUGUGGGGAGGUGUUGGAUUUGGAUGCAGGUGGCUUUCCCCACCUGUGGUGACAGCCCCGGUGAGCCAGGAGGAGACCGAGUGUGAGCUCCUCAAAGGCUCCGGGGCUCACCCCCAGCCCGCGGUGAGUGGUGGCAGGCAGCUCCACCGGGACUUUGCCUGGGAGUGGGAGGCACGCAGUGUGUCGAUGUGCUGCUGGGCAGGGCCGCCGGGAGGGGCGGGCAGGAAGACGAGGGGGCCUUAGGGCCCUGCCAAGAGGUAUUGAUUCCAGGCACCAGGCGCUGCGCUGAGGCCCAGCCAAGAGAUGAGGUCAUGAAGGACGGGGACGGUGACUCCGGGGGCCGCGGCGUCCCGGCCGAUGACGUGAUCGCCAGACGUGAGGAAUCUCUCUCUGCCUGGAAGAUGCAGGCUCUCUCCUUCCUUCUCCUUGACAGCCCCCUCAUGCCAGCCCAUGGUACCAGGGCAGGGGAAGUCUGUGGGCCCUGCCUUGCUGUGGUGCUGUGUGACCUCGGGCAAGUCACUGCCCCUCUCUGGGCUUCCUUGUGGAGUUCCAUGGCUCUGGGGGCACCUCCAGUGGAUACUUUGAUCAGUCCCCACCAGAAAUCCUCCGUUUCCGGAGAGUCGGGCAGGAAGGCAGGGGUGUCUGGGGAGGGAGUCGUCAGCAGCUCCCAACUGCCUCAGUUUCCCCACCUAGUCCUUCAGGACAGGAGGUGGCUUUCUUUCUAGCUCUCUCUGGAAUUACAUCUUGGGGAAGCUGGAGUGUGUAGUGGGGCCUGGAGCCCCAGGCUCUGCCACCUGCAGGCUGUGCAGCCUUAGGUGAGCUGCUUACCCUCGCUGUGCCUAGUUGCCCAUCACGAGGCUGUGGUGUGGGCAUGUGCUGAGCCGCCCUGUGCAGGGCCUGGUGAAAUGCUGAGUGUGCAGGUGGACUCCUGGCAGUUACACAUCCCUGGAGUCCUCCUGGCCUGAGUUUGGGUCCUGCCUUUAGUACUGCUUAGCUAUAAGACCUUGAGUGGGUCGGCCCCCUCUCUGAGCCUCAGUUGCUCCAUCUGUAAAAUGGGGACAGCAGUAUCUCCCAGAGCGGGCCGCUGGUGACAUGUGAGAAGGCUGUGCGGUGAGCACCCGACGGUCCGGCCCUGUGGAGACUGGCAGCUGAUGUCCUGGCUACCUGGCUGGCCCUGCCCUGCCCUGCCCUGCCCUGCCCUUCCCUCGGCUCAGCCCCGGGCCCUGGAGUGCAGCCUGUUGGAGUCCUCGGCUCAGUGCAUCACCGCAGGGCUGCGGAUGGCAGUGGUGACCACCGUAUCUUUCAAAUCCCCCAGAGUUACAGCCCAGCACCCACCGGCCCUGGAAGCCACCUUAGCUGCAGGAUCACAGGUCCCUGAGCCUCUUGAAAGUUUCCAUUUCAGGGAUCCCUGGGUGGCUCAGCGGUUGAGCAUCUGCUGUCAGCCCAGGGUGUGAUCCCAGGUCCUGGGAUCGAGUCCCACAUCGGGCUCCCUACAUGGAGCCUGCUUCUCCCUCUGCCUGUGUCUCUGCCUCUCUCUCUCUGUUGCUCAUGAAUAAAUAAAUAACAUCUUAAAAAAAAUAAAGUUUC